GAUGAACGCUAGCGGCAGGCCUAAUACAUGCAAGUCGAACGGUGUCUUCGGACAUAGUGGCGCACGGGUGCGUAACACGUAUGCAACCUACCUUACAUUGGGGGAUAGCCUUUCGAAAGGGAGAUUAAUACCGCCUAAGACAGUAGCUGGGCAUCCAGCAGCUGUUAAAGACUUAUCGAUGUAAGCUGGGCAUGCGUCCAAUUAGCUAGUUGGUGAGGUAACGGCUCACCAAGGCAAUGAUUGGUAGGGGAACUGAGAGGUCAAUCCCCCACACUGGCACUGAGAUACGGGCCAGACUCCUACGGGAGGCAGCAGUAGGGAAUAUUGGGCAAUGGACGCAAGUCUGACCCAGCCAUGCCGCGUGCAGGAUGAAGGCGUUAUGCGUUGUAAACUGCUUUUAUACAGGAAGAAACGACUCUUGCGAGAGGCAUUGACGGUACUGUAUGAAUAAGCACCGGCUAACUCCGUGCCAGCAGCCGCCGUAAAAC
rnacentral:rRNA from 1 species